rnacentral:rRNA from 1 species
GACGAACGCUGGCGGCGUGCUUAACACAUGCAAGUCGAACGGAAAGGCCCUGCUUUUGUGGGGUGCUCGAGUGGCGAACGGGUGAGUAACACGUGAGUAACCUGCCCUUGACUUUGGGAUAACUUCAGGAAACUGGGGCUAAUACCGGAUAGGAGCUCCUGCUGCAUGGUGGGGGUUGGAAAGUUUCGGCGGUUGGGGAUGGACUCGCGGCUUAUCAGCUUGUUGGUGGGGUAGUGGCUUACCAAGGCUUUGACGGGUAGCCGGCCUGAGAGGGUGACCGGCCACAUUGGGACUGAGAUACGGCCCAGACUCCUACGGGAGGCAGCAGUGGGGAAUAUUGCACAAUGGGCGGAAGCCUGAUGCAGCAACGCCGCGUGCGGGAUGACGGCCUUCGGGUUGUAAACCGCUUUCGCCUGUGACGAAGCGUGAGUGACGGUAAUGGGUAAAGAAGCACCGGCUAACUACGUGCCAGCAGCCGCGGUGAUACGUAGGGUGCGAGCGUUGUCCGGAUUUAUUGGGCGUAAAGGGCUCGUAGGUGGUUGAUCGCGUCGGAAGUGUAAUCUUGGGGCUUAACCCUGAGCGUGCUUUCGAUACGGGUUGACUUGAGGAAGGUAGGGGAGAAUGGAAUUCCUGGUGGAGCGGUGGAAUGCGCAGAUAUCAGGAGGAACACCAGUGGCGAAGGCGGUUCUCUGGGCCUUUCCUGACGCUGAGGAGCGAAAGCGUGGGGAGCGAACAGGCUUAGAUACCCUGGUAGUCCACGCUGUAAACGGUGGGUACUAGGUGUGGGGUCCAUUCCACGGGUUCCGUGCCGUAGCUAACGCUUUAAGUACCCCGCCUGGGGAGUACGGCCGCAAGGCUAAAACUCAAAGGAAUUGACGGGGCCCCGCACAAGCGGCGGAGCAUGCGGAUUAAUUCGAUGCAACGCGUAGAACCUUACCUGGGUUUGACAUGGAUCGGGAGCGCUCAGAGAUGGGUGUGCCUCUUUUGGGGUCGGUUCACAGGUGGUGCAUGGCUGUCGUCAGCUCGUGUCGUGAGAUGUUGGGUUAAGUCCCGCAACGAGCGCAACCCUUGUUCACUGUUGCCAGCACGUUAUGGUGGGGACUCAGUGGAGACCGCCGGGGUCAACUCGGAGGAAGGUGGGGAUGACGUCAAGUCAUCAUGCCCCUUAUGUCCAGGGCUUCACGCAUGCUACAAUGGCUGGUACAGGGAGUGGCGAGCCUGUGAGGGUGAGCGAAUCUCGGAAAGCCGGUCUCAGUUCGGAUUGGGGUCUGCAACUCGACCUCAUGAAGUCGGAGUCGCUAGUAAUCGCAGAUCAGCAACGCUGCGGUGAAUACGUUCCCGGG